UACGGAGGGAGCUAGCGUUGCUCGGAAUCACUGGGCGUAAAGCGCACGUAGGCGGACUCUUAAGUCGGUGGUGAAAUCCUGGAGCUCAACUCCAGAACUGCCUUCGAUACUGAGAGUCUUGAGUCCGGGAGAGGUGAGUGGAACUGCGAGUGUAGAGGUGAAAUUCGUAGAUAUUCGCAAGAACACCAGUGGCGAAGGCGGCUCACUGGCCCGGUACUGACGCUGAGGUGCGAAAGCGUGGGGAGCAAACAGG
rnacentral:rRNA from 1 species